UACGUAGGGGGCAAGCGUUGUCCGGAAUCAUUGGGCGUAAAGAGCGUGUAGGCGGCCCGAUAAGUCCGCUGUGAAAGUCCAGGGCUCAACCCUGGAAUGCCGGUGGAUACUGUCGGGCUCGAAGUCCGGAAGAGGUGAGUGGAAUUCCUGGUGUAGCGGUGAAUGCGCAGAUAUCAGGAGGAACACCAAUGGCGAAGGCAGCUCACUGGGACGGUAUUGACGCUGAGACGCGAAAGCGUGGGGAGCAAACAGG
rnacentral:rRNA from 1 species